rnacentral:rRNA from 1 species
UACGGAGGGUGCGAGCGUUGUUCGGAAUCACUGGGCGUAAAGGGCGUGUAGGCGGUCCGCUAAGUCUGAUGUGAAAGCCCGGGGCUCACCCCCGGAAGUGCAUUGGAAACUGGCGAACUCGAGUCCCGGAGAGGAGAGUGGAAUUCCUGGUGUAGCGGUGAAAUGCGUAGAUAUCAGGAGGAACACCGGUGGCGAAGGCGGCUCUCUGGACGGUGACUGACGCUGAGACGCGAAAGCGUGGGGAGCAAACAGG